GCACAACGAUGAUUCUGCGCAUGUGCAUGGCGGGAGGAGGGGGAGAGUUGGAGUUUGCGCAUGCGUAAAAAUGUCGGGAAAGCAAGAGAAGGGGGGUUAAGAGGCGGUAUUGACAGCUGUGGAGGCAGCCCGCGUUCCCGGCAUGCCCCGGGGCGGCGGGGUUGGCUCUAACGAAUUUGAAUGAGGAGCCUCAGCGCUUUCGGCGCCAUUUUCGAGUGAUGCCUGAUCUCAUCAAUCUAGCGGGAGAGACAGGAUAACCUGUCCGAGAGUAUAGCGCCACUAUGACUCCGCCGGAAAAAUUACUUUAAAAAUCGCCAAAAAUUACUUGGAGCAAAGGGCAGUCGGCGGAGCUUCGCCAAGGCUGGCGCAGUCGGUUUUGACCUGUAGCAGAGAACCAAUUCUGGAGAACAACCUCACUUCUUUGAUUGAAUACUCACAUAAUGCAUUGGAACAUGACAUGAGAUUAAGGUUUAAUAAUGAUAGAAUGAAGACCAUAAUAAAAGAGACCUCUGCUUAGCUCUGCAAUUCUUACCUUUCUUACCUAUUUGAUGAAGAUGUCUUUUGAAAGAUGUACUGCAAGGAACAAAAUGUUUGUAAAUUCUGCUUUUACCAAGGUUUCUUUUUUAAUUGAUGCCAAAGACUUCCAAUAUUGAACAUCUUAAGUCUGUUACUUGGAUUAUGGAUUGAGUUUGGAGCUUACUCAGAGGACUACAGGAGAGUAUCCAGGAGGUGGAUAAUUACUGUACCUUUCUCAUGGAAAAAGUUUUAAUUUAAAGUGUUAUUUCUCAUUGAAUACUAUCAAAAAGGAAAAAAAAAAUGACCUAAACUUUUGAGAUAGAUUUGGCUCUAGUAAGUAUUUAGAUAUAUCACUUGCAUAUCUGGGAGAAGAAAUGAGAGACUAUCAUCGUUACAUUCCCAUCUACUAAAAAAUUUUAUUUUAUACAUGUCAAGGGAUUACUUAUAACUUCUAUUUUAUUACUAAUAGCUUGAACCCUUUUAAUGAAGACUUAACUCCUCCACCAGAAAUUUAAGUUUAUGUUCUUACUUUGUUUACUUAUAAAAUACAUCUCAGGUAUUUCGGAUGUCUUUUUUUUUUCUCAGCCUAUAUGCAAUGAAAAAUAUAUUGGCAAAAUAAAUGUUUAAACCUUUUACGUUAAAAUUACUGUGAAAGAUGACAAGUUAGCUGCUGUUUUUGUCUACGUUAUACUGAAAUUAAAUGUUUAUAAUUUAUAUUUUGGGUUUAUUUAUAAAUCAUGGAAUUUAUGCAAAAACAUGAGUAGUACAGAUUCCCUCUAAUUCUGUAGGACUUUGAAUAAUGUGAUAUUUUUCUUAUAAUUGGACCCUUGUGUUUUGAAGAAAUGCCAACUGUUUGAAGAAUCUCCUUGUUAUUUGUAUUACUUGCUAUAGGGUUAGAUGUUGAGAAAUUCUGCUGACAAAAAAUUUUAAGCCAGUUUUACACUAAAUAUUCCUCAGUCUGAUUAAUUUGUUAUUGGAUGUAUUCUGUGUCUUUUGUAAUUUGUAACUUUUAUCUACUUAGCACGAAUGAUUCUAUUAAAGAAAAUCUUUAGGAAGUAGUAGAAACUUUAAAUCGCCCCAGAGUUUGCCUGUUUCCACAUUUUAUUAUCUUAUAAUAUUUGGGAGUGCUUACACUUAUGGAGCUAACAUUUUUAGAGAUACAGGUUCUCAUAGUACCACUAAAACUUUCUGCCUCUUUGGACUGAAUACCUGUGAUUAUAACUAUACGGUAGUUUAAGUUUCCUUAUGAUUAGUCAAAAAUACCAUUUUAGUAUGAAGCAAUGAAGUCUAUUAUUUGUUGUCCCAUAAUUGAGAAAGCUUAAAUACACCUUUUAUUAAGAGUUUGUCAAUUCUAGCUUAGUCUACACAGAUUUUUAUAUCAAUUUGUUUAUAUUUUUAUUAAUGUCAUUUCUGGAAGUGUGAAAAUGUUAAUGUUCAACAAGCAACAUUAAAAAUAGGUUUGAAACAUUUAUAUAUAAGGAGGUACACAUUUAUUUACUGUUUAGGUACUGAAGAUUAUCACUGAAUAAAAAAUAUAUAUCCCAGCCCC